AUGAACGCUGGCGGCGUGCCUAAUACAUGCAAGUCGAGCGAACAGACGAGGAGCUUGCUCCUCUGACGUUAGCGGCGGACGGGUGAGUAACACGUGGAUAACCUACCUAUAAGACUGGGAUAACUUCGGGAAACCGGAGCUAAUACCGGAUAAUAUAUUGAACCGCAUGGUUCAAUAGUGAAAGACGGUUUUGCUGUCACUUAUAGAUGGAUCCGCGCCGCAUUAGCUAGUUGGUAAGGUAACGGCUUACCAAGGCAACGAUGCGUAGCCGACCUGAGAGGGUGAUCGGCCACACUGGAACUGAGACACGGUCCAGACUCCCACGGGAGGCAGCAGUAGGGAAUCUUCCGCAAUGGGCGAAAGCCUGACGGAGCAACGCCGCGUGAGUGAUGAAGGUCUUCGGAUCGUAAAACUCUGUUACUAGGGAAGAACAAAUGUGUAAGUAACUAUGCACGUCUUGACGGUACCUAAUCAGAAAGCCACGGCUAACUACGUG
rnacentral:rRNA from 1 species